rnacentral:RNase_P_RNA from 1 species
CAAGCUGGCUGGAUAGUCGCUGCUGCUUUGAAAAAAGCGGGAGAGGAAAGUCCGGGCUCCAUAGGACACGGUGGUGGGUAACUCCCACCGUCCGAAGUAACAUGCUUCAUUGUGUGUUGCGUAAGGGUAGGGAAAGUGCAACAGAAAGAUACCGCCCCAAAAGGGUAAGGGUGAAAUGGCGGGGGAAUGCAAAUUCCUUAAUGUAAGAGCCCACCAGCAGCCUGGCGACAGGUUGGCUCGGCAAACCCCACCGGGAGCAAGGCCAAAUAAGAAGGAAGGACUGGUCCGGUCCGUUUGACCUUCGGGUAGGUCGCUCGAGCGUUCGGGUAACCGUUCGCCUAGAUAAAUGGCUAUCAUCUUGCCUUUUUAAGGCGAGAUACAGAACCCGGCUUAUAGGCGGGCUUGUGAA